rnacentral:lncRNA from 1 species
UAAAAGCCCAAUUGGUUGUAAGUUCCUAAACAGGCCGUGCUUCGGGCCACAGUGGAGGUCUUAACAUGGUUACCUAUUACAGUUUUGCUGAGAAAAAAGAGAUGAGAUAAAGAUGCUCCUGGGAGGGAAGUGACUCCCACUUAAGGUGAAGAAUAAUACACUGGAAAUGCCCUGCAAAACUACAGUCAAUGAUUAACAGAAGGAGAUGGCGUCCACCCGAGUCAAAGGUGUUAUUGACUUAAGUAAAACAAAGAAGAGCUUUUAACACGAAUGACAAUGAACCUUCAUAUUCAAAUGAGAUGAAAAGCCAGGACAUGUUUUAUCACGUGCAUCAGAGAUGGUUUAAUUAGAAAUAACUCUAAUAGUUUCAGCUGGGGAAAGGAUACUUGAUAUUACUUUCCCAUCUCUAAUAGCAUGAAAUUAAUUUUUAGAUACAGUGAUUAAGAGUAAGCUUCUACCUUUUAGGAAAAUAAUGGUCACAAUGCACUAAUCUUUUGCAAAUCAGGAAUUGGGGCAUUGCAGCAACAACCUGAUUAUCAAAGUGUAUUUACUAUUGCCUCUUAAUUACCUGACUAAAAAUAUGAAUCUGCUGUUCUUUCUGAGUGUCUUUGAACAUGCUUGUAAG